AGAGUUUGAUCCUGGCUCAGAGUGAACGCUGGCGGCGUGCCUAAUACAUGCAAGUCGAACGAUGAAGCUUCUAGCUUGCUAGAAUGCUGAUUAGUGGCGCACGGGUGAGUAACGCAUAGGUCAUGUGCCUCUUAGUUUGGGAUAGCCAUUGGAAACGAUGAUUAAUACCAGAUACUCCCUACGGGGGAAAGAUUUAUCGCUAAGAGAUCAGCCUAUGUCCUAUCAGCUUGUUGGUAAGGUAAUGGCUUACCAAGGCUAUGACGGGUAUCCGGCCUGAGAGGGUGAACGGACACACUGGAACUGAGACACGGUCCAGACUCCUACGGGAGGCAGCAGUAGGGAAUAUUGCUCAAUGGGGGAAACCCUGAAGCAGCAACGCCGCGUGGAGGAUGAAGGUUUUAGGAUUGUAAACUCCUUUUGUUAGAGAAGAUAAUGACGGUAUCUAACGAAUAAGCACCGGCUAACUCCGUGCCAGCAGCCGCGGUAAUACGGAGGGUGCAAGCGUUACUCGGAAUCACUGGGCGUAAAGAGCGCGUAGGCGGGAUAGUCAGUCAGGUGUGAAAUCCUAUGGCUUAACCAUAGAACUGCAUUUGAAACUACUAUUCUAGAGUGUGGGAGAGGUAGGUGGAAUUCUUGGUGUAGGGGUAAAAUCCGUAGAGAUCAAGAGGAAUACUCAUUGCGAAGGCGACCUGCUGGAACAUUACUGACGCUGAUUGCGCGAAAGCGUGGGGAGCAAACAGGAUUAGAUACCCUGGUAGUCCACGCCCUAAACGAUGGAUGCUAGUUGUUGGAGGGCUUAGUCUCUCCAGUAAUGCAGCUAACGCAUUAAGCAUCCCGCCUGGGGAGUACGGUCGCAAGAUUAAAACUCAAAGGAAUAGACGGGGACCCGCACAAGCGGUGGAGCAUGUGGUUUAAUUCGAAGAUACACGAAGAACCUUACCUAGGCUUGACAUUGAGAGAAUCCGCUAGAAAUAGUGGAGUGUCUGGCUUGCUAGACCUUGAAAACAGGUGCUGCACGGCUGUCGUCAGCUCGUGUCGUGAGAUGUUGGGUUAAGUCCCGCAACGAGCGCAACCCCCUUUCUUAGUUGCUAACAGGUCAUGCUGAGAACUCUAAGGAUACUGCCUCCGUAAGGAGGAGGAAGGUGGGGACGACGUCAAGUCAUCAUGGCCCUUACGCCUAGGGCUACACACGUGCUACAAUGGGGUGCACAAAGAGAAGCAAUACUGCGAAGUGGAGCCAAUCUUCAAAACACCUCUCAGUUCGGAUUGUAGGCUGCAACUCGCCUGCAUGAAGCUGGAAUCGCUAGUAAUCGCAAAUCAGCCAUGUUGCGGUGAAUACGUUCCCGGGUCUUGUACUCACCGCCCGUCACACCAUGGGAGUUGUGUUUGCCUUAAGUCAGGAUGCUAAAUUGGCUACUGCCCACGGCACACACAGCGACUGGGGUGAAGUCGUAACAAGGUAACCGUAGGUGAACCUGCGGUUG
rnacentral:rRNA from 1 species